AUUGAACGCUGGCGGCAUGCCUUACACAUGCAAGUCGAACGACGCUAGGGGCAACUCUAGCGAGUGGCGAACGGGUGAGUAAUGCAUCGGAACGUGCCCUCUUGUGGGGGAUAACCAGUCGAAAGAUUGGCUAAUACCGAAUGAGCUCGAGAGAGGAAAGCGGGGGACCGCAAGGCCUCGCGCGAGAGGAGCGGCCGAUGCCCGAUUAGCUAGUUGGUGGGGUAAUGGCCCACCAAGGCGACGAUCGGUAGCUGGUCUGAGAGGACGACCAGCCACACUGGGACUGAGACACGGCCCAGACUCCUACGGGAGGCAGCAGUGGGGAAUUUUGGACAAUGGGGGCAACCCUGAUCCAGCCAUGCCGCGUGUGAAGAAGGCCUUCGGGUUGUAAAGCACUUUCGGACGGAACGAAAUCGCGCGGGUGAACAAUCCGCGUGGAUGACGGUACCGUAAGAAGAAGCACCGGCUAACUACGUGCCAGCAGCCGCAGUAAGAC
rnacentral:rRNA from 1 species